rnacentral:lncRNA from 1 species
GUUGUUCUUGUCAUGGUCUAAACCAGCUUACCCCACUGCCACAUUUAUCCAUCAGCCUAUGGGAAAAGGGAAAAAGGAUGUGGAAGUGAAGUGAUCUUUAAAAGCCAAGGAAAGGAAGACAGGAAAAAUGAAGAUAAAUCCCAAAAGAUCAAUAUUUACUUUUAGUCUGCAUUUAAGUGUGCAUCGUUGAGAGAAUCCACGGCAACUUUUAUUAAAGAUAGAAGUUGUACUUGCCAACACAUCAACAAUUUAUGUUUAGAAACAAGAUACUCAAUCUCAAGUUAUCUUCCCUCUGUAAGCCGCAUUUAGCUUUUUAAAAAUCAAGAUAUUGAGAUGCAUUAUACAUAUUGCAAAAUCGAUGUUUUUAGGUGUACCGUUUUAUAAAUCCUGACAAAUUUAUACCGUUGUGUUUACAAUACCACAAACAAGAAACAGAACAUUUCUAUCACUCCAAAUGUUUCUUUGUGUCCUUUGUAAUCAGUUUUCUUCCUCCAAGGCCAGAGCCUGAU